rnacentral:lncRNA from 1 species
GUCAUAAACUAUCAUAUGAACAAACUAAACACCAGCCUACCUGAAUUGCUAAAUAUAUUAUAGACAGCAGAGAGCCAUUUCAAAGGAGAAAAAGCUCCAGUUCUUGUUGCAUAUAAGAUCUCCAAGAAGAAAAAAAAAAUUCUAAGAAAAAGAUGAACCCUAAGACUAGCAUCUCGAAGAAAAAGAUGAAGAAGAUCUCCAUCAAGGAUACUUGUUAUCAGUGCAGCAAGAAAGGGCA